CCUACGGGAGGCUGCAGUGAGGAAUAUUGGUCAAUGGACGAGAGUCUGAACCAGCCAAGUAGCGUGAAGGAUGACUGCCCUAUGGGUUGUAAACUUCUUUUAUAUGGGAAUAAAAUGUUCCGCGUGUGGGAUUUUAUAUGUACCAUAUGUAUAAGGAUCGGCUAACUACGUGCCAGCAGCCGCGGUAAUAAGGAGGAACCGAGCGUUGUCCGGAUUUAUUGGGUUUAAAGGGAGCGUAGAUGGGGUGGUAAGUCAGUUGUGAAAGUAUGCGGCUCAACCGGAAAACUGCAAUUGAUACUGGCAGACUUGAGUACAGUAGAGGUAGGCGGAAUUCGUGGUGUAGCGGUGAAAUGCGUAGAUAUCACGAAGAACUCCGAUUGCGAAGGCAGCCUACUAAACUGCCACUGACAUUGAUGCUCGAAAGUGUGGGUAUCAAACAGGAUUAGAUACCCCAGUAGUC
rnacentral:rRNA from 1 species